rnacentral:ncRNA from 1 species
GAGAGGGUGCAAGUCCCUCCCGGCAAGGGUCGCUCCAGCCGGUAGCAAUCGGAGCAGGCGGGAAGGCGACGAUCUGUCUGAAGCCUCCGGUGGAAAGGGUCAUUAGUGACUCCGCGAGUGUGCGGGCUGUAACUUGA